AACGUAGGAGGCAAGCGUUAUCCGGAGUUACUGGGCGUAAAGCGCGUGUAGGUGGAUCGGUAAGUUACUUAUAAAAGCUCCUGGCUAAACUAGGAGAGGCUGAGUGAUACUGCCAGUCUUGAAUAGAGGAGAGGUUGACGGAAUUCCGCGUGUAGUGGUGAAAUGCGUAGAGAUGCGGAAGAACACCAGUGGCGAAGGCGGUCAACUGGCCUCAUAUUGACACUCAGACGCGAAGGCAUGGGUAGCGAACGGG
rnacentral:rRNA from 1 species